UGCGAACUCCUACGGGAGGCAGCAGUGGGGAAUAUCGCACAAUGGGCGCAAGCCUGAUGCAGCAACGCCGCGUGAAUGAUGAAGGCCUUCGGGUCGUAAAGUUCUGUCCUAAGGGAAGAAUACAGUGACGGUACCUUAGGAGGAAGCCCCGGCUAACUACGUGCCAGCAGCCGCGGUAAUACGUAGGGGGCAAGCGUUAUCCGGAAUCACUGGGCGUAAAGGGAGCGUAGGCGGUUUGACAAGCCAGAGGUGAAAGGCAAUAGCUUAACUAUUGUAAGCCUUUGGAACUGUCGAACUUGAGUGUAGGAGAGGAAAGUGGAAUUCCUAGUGUAGCGGUGAAAUGCGUAGAUAUUAGGAGGAACACCAGUGGCGAAGGCGACUUUCUGGACUAUAACUGACGCUGAGGCUCGAAAGCGUGGGGAGCAAACAGGAUUAGAUACCCGAGUAGUCCAGAUG
rnacentral:rRNA from 1 species